GGAAGUGGGAUGACGUCAAGUCAUCCCUAAUCCCGCCUUAGUGCCUUGGGCUACACACGUGCUACAAUGGCCGGUACAACGGGCUGCGAUACCGCGAGGUGGAGCGAAUCCCUAAAAACCGGUCUCAGUUCGGAUUGGAGUCUGCAACUCGACUCCAUGAAGGCGGAAUUGCUAGUAAUCGCGAAUCAGCAACGUCGCGGUGAAUACGUUCCCGGGCCUU
rnacentral:rRNA from 1 species